rnacentral:misc_RNA from 1 species
GAAUUGCGAAACGUAAUGUGACUUGCAACCCUCGUGAAUCAUCGAAUCUUUGAACGCAUCUUGCACUAUUCGGCUUCCCCGGAUAGUAUGCCUGGUUGAGUGUCUGUGUAUCUCUCCUAUACCAAUAUUUGUUGGAAUAGGGACUUGGGGUCUUUCUCGUCGGCAAUAACUGUAUUGAUAUCACCGGUGAACCCUUUAAAUAUAGCAAGCUCCCAUCUUUUAUCGGAAAUACGCAAACUUGGGGAUGGCGUCGUAGCAAUCACUUAUUAUUUAGUAUUGUCGAAGCGCCUAUUCAUACCUCUAAUCUGCGGUGCUAAUCCUUUUUCAGUGGGCGAAGCUUGGCGACUGGCAAAGUGCCAUGCUCCCUUUCUUGGAGUACACGAACAAUAAUGACCUCAAC